UACGGGGGGGGCAAGCGUUGUUCGGAAUUACUGGGCGUAAAGGGCUCGUAGGCGGCCAACUAAGUCGGACGUGAAAUCCCCAGGCUCAACCUGGGAACUGCGUCUGAUACUGGAUGGCUUGAAUCCGGGAGAGGGAUGCAGAAUUCCAGGUGUAGCGGUGAAAUGCGUAGAUAUCUACAGGAACUCCGGUGGCGAAAGCGGCGUGCUGGACCUUUUCUGACGCUGAGGCGCGAAAGCUAGGGGAGCAAACGGG
rnacentral:rRNA from 1 species